AUGCCACUACCUGGUUCUGUUUCUCUUUCGCUGGCCACCUGGUUAAGCUCCCAUUGGUCAGGUGUCCGGAGUGGGGCUCACCACUGCAGAGGGCUCCAGCCCUACACAGCGGCCUCCCAGGAAGGACUCAGGAAAAGCACCGACCUCACGCAGGAGAAGGAAGCAUCGUACCCGCACCCUUGUGCAUUCCUUCCCAGCUCAUUCUCCUGCUUACGGGAGCCCACAGGUCAGCCAAGGGAAGAGCUGAGCCAACUGGUCCUUCCACACUCAGUCAUUCAACCUCUCUGUGAAUUCCCAAGUUUUCUGGAAGUUCUUGCUGAUCUCAGCGAUCCUCAAUGGGGCAACAAAGUGCAGGAAGACUCUCAAAGCUGCUUUCUGCCUCCCAAGGCAUCAGAAGUCAGCGCUCCUGGGACUACUCCCACUGGGAAGGAUGCAAUGCAGGGUCAGGAUUCCCCGGGUGAGGAUAAAUCCUGCAGCCUCAGAUCUGCAGCCCUGCUACCAGGUACCAUGCUUCCAGUGGCACGUCCUCUCUGCCCCUCCCAACUGCGGGACUGUCUUCCUAUGUUCUUUUUCAAAGCAGUGUCUCUGCUGCCAAGAGCAGGUUUGUCUGUCUCCUGGAGACAGCGGUUGUCAAGCCCUGAGAGAAAGCAAGCAUGUCAAAAAUAG
rnacentral:lncRNA from 1 species